rnacentral:rRNA from 2 species
CCCCCGUUGAGAUUUCAUGGCCCGAUCGCGUGCGCGGCGCUGUGCCAGGGAUCCGUCGUUUCGACGACGGCAAGUCGGGACUGCCGCAACCCCCCGUUGCCUUGCCCAGGUGUGUUAACUCGUCGCUUGGAGCGUUCUAUGUUUAGGAUGGGUGCACUCGCAUGAUUUGCGGGGCAGGGGCCCCGUCCGAUGACACGGCUCUCCCAUGCGUUGACUCCCACCUUUGCGAGGUGAAUGGGGCGGGGACACACCACAGCGUUCCUCGUCGCACCCAUUGGGUGCUCGGGGUUCGGGAUGUGUCAACACCCAACACACGGGUGCGCAUCGCGCACCUUAGAAAUCCAAAGAAUGAAGCGCGGUCUAGCGCCUUGCGCGCUUGGGUCGCCGAAGGACAAAAACAUAACAAAAUCACGACUCUCGGCAACGGAUAUCUCGGCUCUCGCCACGAUGAAGAAUGUAGCGAAAUGCGAUACUUAGUGUGAAUUGCAGAAUCCCGUGAAUCAUCAAGUCUUUGAACGCAAGUUGCGCCCGAGGCCUCGGCCAAGGGCACGUCUGCUUGGGCGUCGCACUACAAAAUUGCCCUCCCCAGCGAGGAGCGGAGAUGGCCGUCCGUGUCUGCAAGUGGCGCGGUCGGCUGAAAUGAGCACGAGGUCCGUCGGUCCGUCGCGACGAGCGGUGGCUCCCAAAGGCCGGCGUUGGUUUGCGCUGAUCGAACGAUUCCUCGCGAGGAACUUUAUUCUGGGUCCAGCGGCCCGCCGCAGUGCGGGCAUGCUGUAUCUCUACCGCGUCCCCAAGUCAGGC